GGGGCGCUGGCGCAACGGUAGCGCGUCAGAUUCCAGCAAUGUUUCGAGGUUCGCCUCGAAACUCCGCCGGUGAUUCCUGAAGGUUAUCCGUUCGAAUCGGGUGUGCCUCA
rnacentral:tRNA from 4 species